CCUACGGGGUGCAGCAGUGGGGAAUAUUGGACAAUGGGCGAAAGCCUGAUCCAGCCAUGCCGCGUGUGUGAAGAAGGCCUUCGGGUUGUAAAGCACUUUCAGUGGGGAAGAAAGCCUUGGGGCUAAUACCCUCGAGGAAGGACAUCACCCACAGAAGAAGCACCGGCUAACUCCGUGCCAGCAGCCGCGGUAAUACGGAGGGUGCGAGCGUUAAUCGGAAUUACUGGGCGUAAAGCGCGCGUAGGCGGUCUGAUAAGCCGGUUGUGAAAGCCCCGGGCUCACCCUGGGAACGGCAUCCGGAACUGUCAGGCUAGAGUGCAGGAGAGGAAGGUAGAAUUCCCGGUGUAGCGGUGAAAUGCGUAGAGAUCGGGAGGAAUACCAGUGGCGAAGGCGGCCUUCUGGACUGACACUGACGCUGAGGUGCGAAAGCGUGGGUAGCAAACAGGAUUAGAUACCCGUGUAGUC
rnacentral:rRNA from 1 species